rnacentral:rRNA from 1 species
CUACGGGGUGCACCAGUCGAGAAUAGUCUUCAAUGGACGAAAGUCUGAUAGUGCGACGCCGCGUGGAUGAAGAAGCAUUUCGGUGUGUAAAGUCCUUUUCUGUGUGAGCAAUGUUUUCCAGGUUAAUAGCUUGGAGAAAGCGAUAUUAACACAGGAAUAAGCUCCGGCUAACUCCGUGCCAGCAGCCGCGGUAACACGGGGGGAGCAAGCGUUGUCCGGAAUUACUAGGCGUAAAGGGUAAGUAGGCGGAAUUGUAAGUCAGAUGUUAAAGGCACCGGCUCAACCGGUGUAUGGCAUUUGAUACUGUAAUUCUAGAGUAAGGUGGGGGAAGACGGAAUUCCUGGUGUAGCGGUGGAAUGCGCAGAUAUCAGGAGGAACACCAGAGGCGCAGGCGGUCUUCUAUACCAUUACUGACGCUAAAUUGCGAAGGUGUGAGUAUCAAACAGGAUUAGAUACCCCAGUAGUC